CGCCUUUGUGUUGCCCAUUCACUUUCGGAAACUAGUGAAUGCGGUGUCAAAAAAGGCACAAAGCAAUGCUUUCGCAGCCUUUUCCUCCCCUUGGGCUUUGUGUCUCGGGCGCAGGAGCUGCGUUAGUGACAUGC
ensembl:snoRNA